AUUGAACGCUGGCGGCAUGCUUUACACAUGCAAGUCGAACGGUAACAGGCCUUCGGGUGCUGACGAGUGGCGCACGGGUGAGUAAUGCAUCGGAACGUGCCCAGAGGUGGGGGAUAACGCAGCGAAAGCUGUGCUAAUACCGCAUGUGAUCUGAGGAUGAAAGCGGGGGACCAGGCAGCAAUGUUUGGCCUCGCGCCUUUGGAGCGGCCGAUGUCAGAUUAGGUAGUUGGUGGGGUAAAGGCCUACCAAGCCGACGAUCUGUAGCUGGUCUGAGAGGACGACCAGCCACACUGGGACUGAGACACGGCCCAGACGCCUACGGGAGGCAGCAGUGGGGAAUUUUGGACAAUGGGCGCAAGCCUGAUCCAGCAAUGCCGCGUGCGGGAAGAAGGCCUUCGGGUUGUAAACCGCUUUUGUACGGAACGAAAAGGCUCUGGCUAAUACCUGGGGCUGAUGACGGUACCGUAAGAAUAAGCACCGGCUAACUACGUG
rnacentral:rRNA from 1 species